CGUGUGCCUACGGGCGAGCCGGACGGGUAAGACGUAGGGGACGAAGGGUUAGCAGAAUUUAUGGGCGUAAGUGGAGCGCAGGAGGGUGGAAAAGUGAGAUGUGAAAUCCCCGGGCGCAAGCUGGUAACUGCAUUUGAGACUGUGCGGCUAGAGGUUGGCAGAGGGGGGUGGAAUUCCACGUGUAGCAGUGAGAUGCGUAGAGAUGUGGAGGAACACCGAUGGCGAAGGCAGCCCCCUGGCCAAUACUGACGCUCAUGCACGAAAGCGUGGGGAGCAAACAGGAUUAGAUACCCUAGUAGUC
rnacentral:rRNA from 1 species